rnacentral:rRNA from 1 species
UACAGAGGGCGCAAGCGUUGUUCGGAUUCAUUGGGCGUAAAGGGUGCGUAGGCGGCGCGGUAAGUCAGGUGUGAAAUCUCGGAGCUUAACUCCGAAACUGCAUUCGAUACUGCCGUGCUUGAGGACUGGAGAGGAGACUGGAAUUUACGGUGUAGCGGUGAAAUGCGUAGAUAUCGGAAGGAAGACCAGUGGCGAAGGCGGGUCUCUGGACAGUUCCUGACGCUGAGGCACGAAGGUCAGGGGAGCAAACGGG